UCUUUUGCUCUACUGUGUGUGUAUGUGUGUUUUUUUUCCUCUCUCCUAAACGUGGUCUGCUUGCUGAUGGCAGAAUGGCACUCGGAGAUUUGUGCAUUGUGUCUGGUUUCCUACGGGCAGGCUGACCCAGUGCCUCUAGGGACUUAUCAAUAGACCACUCAGAAGAGACAGAGACAGGAGAAAGGAGGAGGGGUGGCGGGGGAGAGAAAGAGAGAGGGAGAAAGAGAGAGAGAGAGAGAGAGAGAAUCAAUAUCAAGAAUAGAAGGAGCUCCGAAGCCAUUUUUUUUUUUUAAAGAAGUAUCAGGACUUGGGAAGAGGGUGACAAAGAAGGUUUUUCAAAGAGGCAGUGGAGGAGGUUCUAAUAAAUUUGGAAGGAAACAGUUCCCUGUCUUGGGAAAAAAGGAGAACUCCUGGCUGAUUAGCAUUCACACCAGGGAUUUUUUUUUCCCCCUCCUAAAAAGAAAGAGAGAGAAGCAAAGCACAGAAUGUGUGGCAGCAACAAAAUAGAUUGAAAGGAAAUGCAGUUCCCUUACCUCCAAAUUAUAAUUUGGAAUUAAUAAGAACAGGAAUGGAAGGGGGACAAGAAGAAGUGAGUUUGGCAAUCCGCUCCAGCUCCUGGCGACGUGUCCUGCACUAUCAGAUAUCAUAUGACUCUUUAUUUGGACUCCCGUUAGCAGUAUGGGCCUGUUAGGAGGCUGUUUGUUUUCUUUUCCUUUCAUUUCCUUCUCCUUAGUUCCCCCCAUUUUAUGUGUGCCUGUGUGAGCAUAUCCCCUUUAUAAUCUCUCUUUUUGUGCUGAAGCUUUAUAGAAAAGAAAAAAAAAAACUUAAUCAUUUCCCAGGGCUGUUUUUAAUCCUCUGCCAAAAUUGAAGUUCAUUGUCGAGUUGUAAAAAUAAAUAACACCUUUCGGCUUUA